rnacentral:rRNA from 1 species
UGGGGAAUAUUGCACAAUGGGCGCAAGCCUGAUGCAGCCAUGCCGCGUGUAUGAAGAAGGCCUUCGGGUUGUAAAGUACUUUCAGCGGGGAGGAAGGGAGUAAAGUUAAUACCUUUGCUCAUUGACGUUACCCGCAGAAGAAGCACCGGCUAACUCCGUGCCAGCAGCCGCGGUAAUACAGAGGGUGCAAGCGUUAAUCGGAAUUACUGGGCGUAAAGCGCACGCAGGCGGUUUGUUAAGUCAGAUGUGAAAUCCCCGGGCUCAACCUGGGAACUGCAUCUGAUACUGGCAAGCUUGAGUCUCGUAGAGGGGGGUAGAAUUCCAGGUGUAGCGGUGAAAUGCGUAGAGAGCUGGAGGAAUACCGGUGGCGAAGGUGGCCCCCUGGACGAAGACUGACGCUCAGGAACGAAAGCGUGGGGAGCAAACAGG